AGAUUCGUACCGCGAGAUCGUAGCAGCGAAUCAGCUUGUCCAAGCAGGAAGAGACAAAUUCGUACCGCGAGAUCGUAGCAGCGAAUCAGCUUGUCCAAGCAGGAAGAGACAAGUAAGUUUGUUAUUUAUAGUUCUGUUAAUAUUACUAGAUUCGUACCGCGAGAUCGUAGCAGCGAAUCAGCUUGUCCAAGCAGGAAGAGACAAGUAAGUUUGUUAUUUAUAGUUCUGUUAAUAUUACUAGAUUCGUACCGCGAGAUCGUAGCAGCGAAUCAGCUUGUCCAAGCAGGAAGAGACAAGGACCCGCCCGACUACCUGCAGACCGCUGACACUCAGUGUAUGCCCUUUGUAACUACGCACCAGCUCGCCAGUCUGUGGGAAAGAGAGAGUUACUUGCCAUUAUUUGCCGAGAAUUAGCAAGGAGGGCAUUGAAAUUCUUCUCAGCAGAUGAUUCCCCUAGAGAAAAGAGAACAUGACGGAACACGAGAAAACGUACGUGUUUCACGGGCCUUUUACUUACGUUGAGGUUGUGCGCAAGAACUUGAUUGUCGGCCGCACCACUGUAAAUGAAAUUCUCCACUACCUGUAAAGAAAUGGAAAUAGUUUUUUUUUUACAUCAAGUGGAAGAAAUGGAAGAAAUAUUAUCGUUGCCAGCCCUAAAUUUGAAUUACAGAUAAAGUAACAAGGAAGAGAGAGGGGUUGGUCUCCCCUUUAAAGAAAUCCUGGAUCCUCACUUGAGACACGCUUUUUUUUCUUAACCUUAUUUAAUUGCAUAAAUAUCUUUAACGACAUUUUCAAGUGGGUGUGGUUGAGGAACUGGCUAGGGGCCGGUUGCACAAAGCUUGGACAAGUUUUUUCCACCGGUUAAAUCCUGAUCCAGCGGAUAAAACCUAUUUAAGUGGUGUGAUUCGGUUGCACAAUCCACAAUCUACUGGAUAGGGAUUUUAUCCGGUGGGUAGCGCCUAUUCGGCCGGCCUCUGACCGUUACUCGUACAGUCCCUAAGUGAGUGUGGUUUUGGACUAGCCUUACUGUUACCCGUACAGUUCCUGAGUGACUGUGGUUGUGGACUAGCCUGUUACCCGUACAGUUCCUAAAUGAGUGUGGUUGUGGACUAGCCUGUUACCCGUACAGUUCCUAAGUGAGUGUGGUUGUGGACUAUCCUUACUGUUACCCGUACAGUUCCUAAGUGAGUGUGGUUGUGGACUAGCCUGUUACCCGUACAGUUCCUAAAUGAGUGUGGUUGUGGACUAGCCUGUUACCCGUACAGUUCCUAAGUGAGUGUGGUUGUGGACUAGCCUUACUGUUACCCGUACAGUUCCUAAGUGAGUGUGGUUGUGGACUAGCCUUACUGUUACCCGUACAGUUCCUAAGUGAGUGUGGUUGUGGACUAGCCUGACUGUUACCCGUACAGUUCCUAAGUGAGUGUGGUUGUGGACUAGCCUUACUGUUACCCGUACAGUUCCUGAGUGAGUGUGGUUGUGGACUAGCCUUACUGUUACCCGUACAGUUCCUAAGUGAGUGUGGUUGUGGACUAGCCUUACUGUUACCCGUACAGUUCCUAAGUGAGAGUGGUUGUGGACUAGCCUUACUGUUACCCGUACAGUUCCUAAGUGAGAGUGGUUGUGGACUAGCCUUACUGUUACCCGUACAGUUCCUAAGUGAGAGUGGUUGUGGACUAGCCUUACUGUUACCCGUACAGUUCCUAAGUGAGUGCGGUUGUGGACUAGCCUGACUGUUACCCGUACAGUUCCUAAGUGAGUGUGGUUGUGGACUAGCCUGUUACCCGUACAGUUCCUAAGUGAGUGUGGUUGUGGACUAGCCUUACUGUUACCUGCAAACACAGCACCGUCAUCGUGUGGCUUUUUAUUGUUCUGAUGAGAAGUCCGCUCUGUGGAUAGAGGUAUGGACAGCUAUAGCUAUAGCGCAUCACUCGCGCGACACUUGCAGGGGGUGAAGAGUGAUUUGGUGUUAUUAAAUGAUGAAUACAACGGC